rnacentral:rRNA from 1 species
UACGGAGGGGGCGAGCGUUGUCCGAAGUUACUGGGCGUAAAGAGCGCGUAGGCGGGUGGAUAAGUCUGCUGUGAAAGCCCGGAGCUUAACUCCGGAGGGUCGGUGGAUACUGUUCGCCUUGAAGGUGCUAGGGGGAGAUGGAAUUACCGGUGUAGCGGUGAAAUGCGUAGAGAUCGGUAGGAACACCAGUGGCGAAGGCGGUCUCCUGGGGCAUUCUUGACGCUGAGGCGCGAAAGCUGGGGGAGCAAACGG